AUCCAGAUGGCCGAGCUCUAGGCACCGAGCUUUUAACUCGAUCACAGUAAUAAUACUUCAGGAUA
rnacentral:tRNA from 1 species